AACCCAUUGUGAGGGCACCUUCUCAAUAAAUCCUUAUAUCUCUCCCAUGCAUCGUAUAGGAUCUCUAAGUCCAUUUGCACAAAGUAAAAUAUAUCAUUCCUCAACUU
rnacentral:snoRNA from 1 species